rnacentral:rRNA from 1 species
CACGUAGGGCGCAAGCGUUGUCCGGAAUUAUUGGGCGUAAAGAGCUCGUAGGCGGACUGUCGCGUCUGCUGUGAAAAGCCAGGGCUUAACCCUGGCCUUGCAGUGGAUACGGGCAGACUAGAGGUAGGUAGGGGAGAAUGGAAUUCCCGGUGUAGCGGUGAAAUGCGCAGAUAUCGGGAGGAACACCGGUGGCGAAGGCGGUUCUCUGGGCCUUACCUGACGCUGAGGCGCGACAGCGUGGGGAGCAAACAGG